AUUGAACGCUGGCGGCAGGCCUAACACAUGCAAGUCGAGCGGAUGAAGGGAGCUUGCUCCUGGAUUCAGCGGCGGACGGGUGAGUAAUGCCUAGGAAUCUGCCUGGUAGUGGGGGAUAACGUCCGGAAACGGGCGCUAAUACCGCAUACGUCCUGAGGGAGAAAGUGGUGGAUCUUCGGACCUCACGCUAUCAGAUGAGCCUAGGUCGGAUUAGCUAGUUGGUGGGGUAAAGGCCUACCAAGGCGACGAUCCGUAGCUGGUCUGAGAGGAUGAUCAGUCACACUGGAACUGAGACACGGUCCAGACUCCUACGGGAGGCAGCAGUGGGGAAUAUUGGACAAUGGGCGAAAGCCUGAUCCAGCCAUGCCGCGUGUGUGAAGAAGGUCUUCGGAUUGUAAAGCACUUUAAGUUGGGAGGAAGGGCAGUAAGUUAAUACCUUGCUGUUUUGACGUUACCAACAGAAUAAGCACCGGCUAACUUCGUG
rnacentral:rRNA from 1 species